UUUUCAAAAUUUUCAAAAAGAAAAUAAUAAUAUUAAAGAUAUCUUUUAUCUGUAAUUCUCGAAUUGUAAAUCAUGAUUAUAAUAAUUUAAUCAAAGACCCAAACUAUAAACCAUGUGCUUAGUAAACUUGCACACCUUCCCUGUGAAGUGGCACGAAGCCAAAAAGAAAGAGCAAAUAUGACAGAUAUUUUUAUACUAGACAGUGGCUUUCGGCUAUGAAUGCCAUUUCCUGCUCAACCACGGACAAGAUUGUAAACAGUUUGCAAAUCUUCAUCAGUGAAACAGUAACCUGAUAACCACAAAUAGCAUGUAUGCAAGCAUGAAACCCUAAAUCCAAUAGAGUGAUGCAGAGAGUUUGGCUUGAGAAUUCGGUGUUUACAGGGUUUAGGGUUCAAGGAGUUUUCUUCAGGUUUCGAAGCACCAAUGCUGCGGGGUCUGUGCUGGAAAAUGGUUAAGUAGUAAACCUUGACCAAGCUUCGUCUCUUUUUCUGAGGUUUGGGCUGAAUAAUGCCACGGUAGUCCUUUUAUCAGGAGAUCGACUUCCUUUUGUGCACAAACUAGGGCUUGAACGAGUUCCAAAUGUCUCAAAGAUCUCUGCAGAAUUGGCAGUUAAGCCGUUGGCGUUCCUAACCGAUCCACUGAUGUUAUAAGCUUCAAUGUGGAUUCCAAACAGUUAAAACGAAGGCAUGUGCUGUAGAUGUGAAUUAAAUCUCUAUCAUGGUGCCACUGUGUUGUCACUGCAGCCUGAUGGGUAUGCUAGAAUAAAGCCUAAGUUCAAUUUCCUCACCUGAAGCCCUAUCAUCUGUCAGUUUUCUGCUAUGAACUGGUGCGCAUUUUCGAGUCUCUGGCAUGCAGGUAAUUCCACACACAAGCCGAAAAAUCGCACGAACGAGAAUCAAUGCUCCAUCAACACUUCGAAUCAAGGUUGAAACUGUCAAUCACUCAUCACGAGACAGGCUUGAGGAAUUACGAAUCUACAGCAGCAGCGGCUUGGAAUGUUAAUCUUGUAGUCUUAAUAAUCGCUCGUAUUCUCUGGCACGCUGUACCCACAUGCAACUCACAGCUGCAGAAUUUCAUCCUACUGCCACCUUUUUCUCACUGUCUCAGAUGAAGGCCGGCCACCAAUCAGUACUGAGUCCAUCCACGAUGGGGUCCGGAUCCUGAGCAUCGACAGGCUCGACUGGUCCAGAGUUGCUUUGCUCUGUGCUCUGUUGCUUCUACGCUACCUUUUCUUCUCAUGCUGCGAUUUCGUGCUGAGUCUCGUGCGAGUAUUGCCACCACAACAGUUGCUGGUAAGCGUUUCGUUGCUCAGAAGAGGCUGUUGUGAAGAGCAGUUCCGAUCAGAGGGAGGGGUACUUUGUUAAGCUGAGGGUGUCAUGGGUUGAGCGGUCUGCAAGUGUUGGAGGAUUCCAGUGUCAAGGCCUUGACGGGAUCUGAAGCGACAAGGAGACAACAGCCAUACCUGAAUGGUGCGUAUGAUGAAUAGCUUUGCCGGAGUGCCUGUGUUGGUGAGAGUUUGCUGUGAGGGUCGAUGUGCAGGUUCACACCAUCAGCUGGUUGCCUGUGGAGAAGUUGCUCUAUUUGGAUCUGCAUUUUUUUUUUUUUUUUUUUUUUUUUUUUGUCGCUGCCAGUCACGAUUGCAUGCGAUGGAGGGCAUCUGAGAUUUGCUUGUGAGUUUUGUUGUGUUUGUGUUGGUCGUGAGGGGCAGAGUGGACGAUGGUGUUCAUGUUGUGGGUUUUGAAGAAGAUUGCCUAGUUGAGUGGGAUGCUGUUGCAGGAAUGCAGUUUGGUGAUGGCUUUGUUGUAGCUUAGUAAGCAUGAACACGAGAUUGCAAUGGACCUCAAUUCGAAUGUCGUCCACAAUGAAGUUGUAUGUUUUGGAUUGCUUCCACAUGAGUUGUUUUCUUGAAGCUUUGAGAGAUGGAUGUAGACAUUGGGAUUUUGGUGUUCAAUUGAUACUAAAAUUGAUGGUUACUGUUGAGGCUAGUGAUUUAAGGAAUUAAAAAGAGAAUAUUUAUAUAUAUAUAUAUAUAUAUAUGAUACAUCUUGGUUGUAGUUUUUGGAAGUAGUUUCUUAAAAUUGGUUUAUUUAUAAGAUUGGUUUAUAAGAUUUUAUAAGAUCUUGGUUUAUAAGAUGGUUUAUAAGAUUGGUCAAUAAAAGUUUUGAAAAUAAGAUAAUUGGAUAUAAUUAAUGCAAGUUGAGCAUCCCUAUGGAGAAAUUUGGAGUGA